AGUGAACGCUGGCGGCGUGCCUAAUACAUGCAAGUCGAACGGAGUGGCGCACGGGUGAGUAAUAUAUAGCUAAUCUGCCCCUUGCUGGAGGACAACAGCUAGAAAUGACUGCUAAUACUCCAUAGAAAGGGAUGAGACUAUAUCGUAUCAGCUAGUCGGUGGGGUAACGGCCUACCGAGACGAUGACGCGUAACUGGUCUGAGAGGAUGAUCAGUCAUAGUGGAAAUGAGACACGGUCCAAACUCCUACGGGAGGCAGCAGUAGGGAAUAUUGCGCAGGGGGGGAAGCCCUGACGCAGCAACGGCGGGUGGAGGAUGACCCUUUUCGGGGCGUAAACGCCUUUUGUUAGGGAAGCGGUACCUAACGAAGAAGCACCGGCUAACUCCGUGCCAGCAGCCGCGGUAAUAC
rnacentral:rRNA from 1 species